CUUUGUUGGGAUGCCACGUAUGGGAAAAUAUCGUUUAAGAGUAACCUACCCUGUAAUCCAAACUCGUCUAGUGAGAAAUUAGACCAUAGAGGGUAAUAGCCCCGUAGGACAGGAAAAGUAAACAGGUAGGACUCGAAAUUGAUAUUUUCUCUUGAGUCAGGUUAUUUGAGAAUAUAGCCUAAAGAGGAGGUAUAUUCCUUCUAAAGCUAAAUAUAACUGUGAGACCGAUAGUGAACAAGUACCAUGAGGGAAAGUUGAAAAGAACACUGAAAAGAGAGUUCAAUAGAACGUGAAGCUGUUACUGGGUAAUAAAACGGAUACAGUAGAGUACGUCGAACGAGUAGCUAGCAGAAAGCGUGGUCGAAAGAUUGCGUCUUGCUCAAUGAAAGUACCCUUAGAGAAAGAUGGUAAAGUCAACGCGCUUUAUCAGAUCACUCUAAUCGAGAAAUCGCCGAGCCGUUGCAGCUUGCUUUUGUAGACCCUCACACGGAUUGUUAAGUUGACUAAGGCUUGAUUGUUGAGAAAGUUCCAAAUAUGUGCUGUUUCUAUUUAUUUAGAAGCUAUUGUUUGAAGUACGUAUGGAACUUUAAUCUUUCUUGAAUUUACUGUCGGACUUGACGAUUCGCUAAAAUAUAAUAUAGAUCUGUCAUGUGAUAAAUAUUAUAUGUGUUGCCUUCGCUCAUUACCUAUCCGUCCCGUCUUGAAACACGGACCAAGGAGUCUAACAUAUACGCGAGUUAACGGGUCUAUUAAACCUUACUAGCGUAAAGAAAUUAAUUUUAUUGGAUAGAUCCUGAAAUCUUUGAUUUCGGGCGCACAUCCGAGGAUCGUUCUAUCAUUGUAAAUUGAUAAUUUAUUAUUUUUUUGCAAGGAAUGAUUACUUUGAGCGUAUAUGUUGGUACCCGAAAGAUGGUGAUCUAUACUUGAUCAGGGUGAAGCCAGAGGAAACUCUGGUGGAAGCUCGUAGCGAUUCUGACGUGCAAAUCGAUCGUCAGAA
rnacentral:rRNA from 1 species